rnacentral:snoRNA from 1 species
AAGAUUAUACUUCAUAGGACCAUUUCUAUAGUAUGAUUAGCGAGUUCGGUAGAUAUAUUAGUCAACUGAAAUGAAGUUAAAGUCGGU